CCUCUCUGAUUUAUAAAGAUCUUCAGUGAAUAAUGAGGGCUGUGAGAAGAAUUAAAAAUAGAGUAGAUUAGAUCAAUAAUUUUGUCUUAUUUUAAUGUAGUUUAUUUGAAAUUUAAUAUGAAAUAGUGUGAAUGUUUUAAUGUGGGUGUACAUAUACAUGUAUAUAAAACUACACAUAUACAGAUUCUUGAGAGAAAGAAAAAAAAGCCUCUUAGUUGUAAAAUAGGUAAAUCUUGUCAUGGGUGACUUUGGUGAUUUCAUAUCUACCCAUGUAGGCCAAUACUUUGGGCUAUUGGAGAAGAAGUUUCUUGGAAGCCAAAAUGAGAGUGUUCUUCAAAACAAAAAGUGGAUGCCAUUUGUAUUGCUUGCUCUCUGUUCCUAUUCACUGGAUACUUAGAGAAAUAAAGUGACAAUGAGUUGAAGUAAAAGUCAAGUUUGCUAGCAUUUUCAUUCAAAGAAGAAUUCUUCAAAAAGAUGAAAAUAGAAGAAAAAAUGAAAUUCAUUCUUACUGCUAAUGAAAUGUUUUCUUGAUGUCAAGCAGUAUCUGUUUGGAAGAAAACAACUUGGACUUAACCAGAAAUUCAAAAUAUGGUGCAUUUCCAACCUGGUAAUUGGGCUGAUGUGAGAUGUCACAAACAGUGAUUGUUACAAUGGCCUGGCUCUUAAAUGCACACUCUGGAUUAAAUGGUACCUGAAUGGUGAGGGCACCACUCGGCGGUCUUGGCUAAUCUAUGUGAAACGAUGGCACUAGGGAAGCCAUUUCUGUUGGCUCUGAGUAAAGCCUGCCCCUAUGCACCUGUGAGAAAGGCAGGUAUGUCCAUGAAGGUGUUCCCCGCUCAUCUGAAUUGGUGGAUUCAGUAAAGUAGACUGCCCCGCCUCCACUGUGGCUAGGAACACGAAAGCAAUGCUUGAAGGAGCAGUAGCCAUCUUGCCUGAGGCUGAGAGUCUUCAAGUACCAACUAAUUUGUUCCGGAGAUGCAAGUGCAAAUCCCAUGAGCUUAUGUAGCCUGGCACUACUAACCUAUUUAAAACCUGACUCUGUUUUUGUUUGGAUUGUGUAGUCCCACAUACAUCACCUCUUGGUUUGUCUUCCUGAACCAAUAAGAACAACUUUUCUUAUAAUGUCAACUCAAUCUAUAUCAACCCUCUAAAAAGAUCAUAUAUGUCGUUCCCAUUUUGAAGAGUUUUUAUUAUCUGAGCUGCUAACAACAUGUAAGUUGUAAGUACAAAGUUUACACCGAGAGAAAGUGUGUUGAAAAUAUUUAUUUACAUAUGUGUAGAAUACAUAUGUAAUGCAACUGUGAUUUGGAAUGCCAUGGGCCUAUCACAGAGUGGAUACAAAUAUAAGUGUUAUCAACUAUUUAGCAAAUAAAUAAAAAACAUUAGAAUGGAUAGUAAAAAGUCAUGGUUAAUAAUGAAUGUUCCACAUAAAUCUCUUUUAAUAUUUCUUAAAUAUAUUGGGCAUUUAUAAUGAACCUUUCUUUAACUUGAGAAAUUGUGUCUGCUUUCAAAAAAAUGCCUAAUUCCCAUUUUGUUAUAACAGUUUUUAAAUUCUGGUGUAACAGAAAAAUUAAAAAACCCUGUAAGAGAUCUAAAUGUCUCGGUGUGUAAGAUGUUUCCCCUUUGUUACUAUGUGCUCUUGGUAUUUUCUUUACCCAAAGGGUCACCACCAAUGGAGUGACUUCAGGCUUGAGUGUAUUCUUUAGGAUACAAGACUAUCUUUGUAGAAUGAACAAAUGUUAACAAAAUGAAUCUCAUUCUCAAAAAUAAAAUGUUUACAUGUUAUAAAUGGAUUCCUAGAGUUACCAAUAUUACUAAUCAUGUAUUAUAACUUUUUAAGUUAGAACACUAAUUUAGGUCACAAUAACAUGAGUAUUUUUAAGUGUAAUUCAAAUGAUUUUCCUUUUUUUUUUUUUUGACCUUUUUUUUUCCAGUUCAAGAUACACAUUGAAAAAUCAAUUGGUCAUUGGAAAGGAUUCUUUUACAAUUAAGAAUUUCAUUGUAAGAAUAUCUGCCCACGUGGAGCCAUGUGUCUUAAGUAAGUCAUGAUUGUUUUUAUACAAAACCGAAAGAUGAACUGCUCUGUAUCUUGAAUACUCAACAAUUUUUUUUUUUACUUUUUCUCACAAGAAUGAGAAUUUCUGCUGAGCACUAUGAUUAAAUAGAAUAAACAAAAUCAUAAUAUUUACAUGUAUUUUUCUCUUCUUUCUCUUUCUCUCUUCUCACAAGACAUUCACUCCUUCCAUGUUUAUUUAAUAGUUCUAAAUUCCCAGAUAAUUCUCAAGUCUUUUGCUCACAUGCCAAUGACUGAUAAUUAUUUAGCCAUCAGUGUAUUUCCCCACCGACUUCUGACAAGAGACACCUCUUCUAAACCCUAGAAAAAGAUUUAGAGAGUCCACCUCAGCUGAUCUUCUAUGAAAGAAAGAAGCAAUUAAUAAUUUAUCUUAAUGUGAUUUUCGUUUGAGAGGAAGAUGAUUUGCCACCGACCUAACAUCAUCUUGAUAUAAGAACGGAGCAGUUCUUAUCUUCAUUUUAUUAUUUAUUGGUGGGGAAAUUGAAGCCCAGAUACACCAGAGAACAGUUAAUUGGCCUGAAGUUACACUACAAUUGUGGCAAAGCUAGAUUCAGAAUCCAAGAUGGAGCUCAGAUACUAAUCCUAGGAUGUUUUCCAAAAGAUUGUUCUUUCUUCUCUCCCUUGCCAUCAAGACCGCAAGAGAAAUAUUCUUAUAUGUAACAAAAUAUGAAAACACAACAUUCACAUAAUUAUAAAAUAUCCAUAAAGUUAUCCAUGUAUGUUAUGUACAUUCUAGAUAAAUUGUCUCAUUACCUACAUAAAAUUUUGGAAAAGAGACAGAUAAAAUAGCUUAAAAGAUAAAAAUUAUACAAGAUAGUAGAAUUCAUUAGGAAUAUGACACAUAAUUUCACCAGUACCAACCACUGCACACUUUUAAAAACAGUCACUGCUCUGAAGACUAUUUUUUUUUAAGUUUUCUAAAAGAAUUUAGUAAUUUAAAAUGGAACAGUAAAUGGGCCAGAUCUCAGGAGAACAAAAUCUCCUUAAAUUCAUAGAAAGUUGUGAUUUGCAUUUGGGCUCCAAUAGGAUGAAUUUGCAAAAUGGCGUUUUUGUUAGUGGUCAUAAUUAAUAUUCUUGUUAGAGCUCUAGGAACUCCAGGAGUAUAUAUUUGUUCUUAAAAGCGGCUUAAAAUCCCAAAUUUUCAAACUCUCUUGCUCUGGUCUACAUACAGUUUUUUUCACUGAGCACAUAGGACAAUUGUACAUAUCUGUACAAUGUAAGUACAGGUACCUGUACUUCAUGUGAGAUGAAACUGGUGUCAUGAUAAAAAUCUUCCAUUUUAACAAUGAAGUAUAUGUCUCUCUUCGACAUCUAUGCCCAAACCAUUCGAAGUACUAUUUACGUCAUUGUGGGACACUAGUAGCUUUGGUAUUGUCAUCUGCCUUUCGUGUGCCUAUUUUCUUUUUAUCAUAAGCUCUUGUAUCUACUAGACCAUAGUGCAAUAAUAUCCCAAUACAGACUGACAAAACUUGUCCUUAUGAUGCACAGCUCACAUUUCUAUUUUUGUUUGGCUUUCGCUAUUACAUUACAACCACCUGUCCAGGGUACAGCAUCUGAUCUUAUAUAUUAUCAUAGAAAAAUACUGAAGGUAUGUAAGUUGCUUUGAAAAAUGUUUGGAUUUUCAAUACGUAUCUAUUUACUCCUAUUAAUACAUUGUUCAGAAAUAUAAUAAUAAAAAUUUUAUUCUGGAUGCACUGAAAGCAUCUAUACAGUGUAAGAAUAAAACAUGCAGUCAUCUGGUCCCCCAAAAGAGAAUCUCCUGUCUAUGUGCUGGCUGAGGCAACACAGAACAUGACUAUGUCACGAUUGCACUUAUUAAAGCACGUGUUCACCCUUCAUUCAAGUCUGAGUAAGUUCACCUGGUAAGAAUUGCAGAAUCUGGGAACCGAAAAGACUACUCUAUAUACAGUGUUUGCUGAACACAUGCAUUUCUGCUGGAAACAGCAGAGUGCAUUCAGCACCUCAUCAUGUCAUGCACAUAGGGACAGAGGGGACUGGAGAAGAGUGCGUGAUAACUGCACCAUAAACAAGCAACUGACACAUUUUAACCCUUUGUGACAACCUCGAAUAGGUCAAAAGCACGUUUCUUUCCCACGGAUACAAACAAUAAUAUUGUUCGUCGACUGAGUCAAUGGCAGAACACAGCAAAUAUUUGCACCACUAAUAGGCAAAGGCAUGGAUUGCAGCUUCAAACUACCCUGCUGUUUUAGUCAUUCUGAUAUAGUUUUACACCAGUGGUGAUUUUUGAAGCACGUGGCUAAAGCUUGACCAUUUCUGUACUUAGGUUAUGCUUACUAUUCAUUCACCUCUAAAAGGUUAACCAGGCUUGUGUCGUACAUGGUUAAAUAGAACAUUACCCUGCAAUUCAAUAAAUGUCAGAGGUCAAGAAAAAGGACCCUCCUCGCCAUGAAAGCAACUAAGUCUCAAUUUCAAGGCUGAUUCCUUUUACUGUGAUUACCUCAUUUUCUUGUGCCUGUGGCAGGUAGAUGUCUUAGCAUUGCCUGGAGACCUGCUCCCCUGCAAACUUCCAUGAUGAGUAAUGGAAGUCGUGGGCACAGAGAAGGGGAAAUGGAGCCCCUGGCACAUCACAUCUGUUCUGAGACUCCUGGAUUAAAGAGGCACAUCUUGUGGGCAUGUGAAGAAGCUCUAAUAGAUAUUCUAAAAUAUCCCUUGUUUUUACAAGUUACUUGGUUCUGCACUUCUCCGGUCUGAUUGUGAUAACCUGUCUUUCAGUUCUGGUGGUUUUGUUUGGGGAUGCUGAGAGAUCAUUAGAAAAGCUCAUAAAAAUGGCAACAAUAGGUCAAAAUAUCUCCUUUGAUUUUGCUGUCAUCUGGUGUAUAUUGUGAAUGUAUAUGUACAGAUGGUCCAAUAAUGUACAGAUUCCUGGAAUAUAUUUUCAACGUGAUGCAAACAAUAACUUCCCUGUUCCCACAAUUAGAUGUCAUGCAUGCACCAAUUUAAAAGUAUGCCUCUUUGAUCAACUUCAUAACAUAGACUUUAGUCAAAAGAAAAAAAUCUUCUGGGUUCUUACAAAUGAACAUCUAUUUUAUUCUCAAUACAUACCACUUAAGGGACUGGCUAUACACAACUGUUUGUGACUUUUUUUUUUUUUAGUUGAUAAUAGGCACUUUCUAGGAAGAGGAUUUAUAACUCAAAAGACUCUGAAAUUCAGUCUUUAGUAACCCCCUUUCAUAAAUGGAUCUGCCUGAGCCACAGCAGUCUACUGUAUCAACUCAGCAGGAGUCCUGCAGUAGAACUGUGUGCAAAAAAGCUUUAGAAAAUUGUAACCAGAAUAAAAUUAUAGAAAAGCAGUUAUCUGAACUGAGCAACUUAACAUCUACUUGUUAGUGUUUUUUUGUCACCAUGUUUCAUAUGUUAUCCCUAUAAACAUGAACAAUUCUGUACCUGUUUCAUCUUAAGUUACAGAUAUGCUACAAAAUAUUGUCUAUCUGCUUACAUUCUUUUUUUAUUUUAUGUCAUUAUAGUUAAAAUUUUGAUAUGAGUA